GGAAGCAUAGCUCAGUGGUAGAGCAUCCGACUGCAGAUCGGAUUGUCCCCGGUCCGUACCCGGGUGCCCCCU
rnacentral:tRNA from 1 species